UACGGGGGGAGCAAGCGUUGUUCGGAUUUACUGGGCGUAAAGGGCGCGUAGGCGGCCACCGCAAGUCAGUUGUGAAAUCUCUGGGCUUAACCCAGAACGGUCAGCUGAUACUGCGGGGCUAGAGUGCAGAAGGGGCAACUGGAAUUCUCGGGUGUAGCGGUGAAAUGCGUAGAUAUCGAGAGGAACACCUGCGGCGAAGGCGGGUGCUGGGCUGACACUGACGCUGACAGCGCGAAAGCUAGGGGGAGCAAACGGGG
rnacentral:rRNA from 1 species